CUCAACCUCCUGGCGAUCGAUAAUAUUAAUGAAUAAUUGGACAGCGAUACAUUUGUAGUUAUUUCUUUGUUUCAGAUCCAAUCCGUUCGACCGAUUACCGCACCUGUAAACAGCAUGGGAAACAGCAACUGCUGCAUUUGAUGGGUCGUUUGAGGUGAAUGACUUCCUUCAUCGCGCCGUCCAGAAUUCGCAUAUCAAAGUGGCGAUAACUUCCGCAACACAUUCGACCGCAACAGUCGGACUCUUCGGCGGCGUAGUAAACGACCUGACCCCGGGGAUCCUUAAUCACGUACUUGUUUUCACUUUCCCAUCCGGUAAACGCUUGAAAAUCGAUUAAAUACUGAGAAUAAAAUAUCGUGCAGAAAAAUGAAAUGAUGGCGACAACGAUACGGAUUGGAUGAUCAAAGGAGUGAAAUUAUUUUUACGUUAUACCUUCGAGGAGCUCCACUUGCUGAUCAACCAUCAGCCGAUCAAGGGCCAUAAGAUAUUCCAAGCCGGGUGGACAAUUGCUGUUUGGUAUCGGCCAACCACCUGAGGAUACGGCAAACGGACGAAUUAAUCGAUAAAUGUAAAAUACGCGCUUAUCAUUGGGCUUCAAUUUCCAAGAGGUUUCAAAAUACUCGGAUUCCAUGAUGCUAGGAUUGAAUUGAACUACCGGUGACUUUAUUUAAAAACAUAUUAGCGUCGACAUAUUGUCGCGAGUAUACAGCCGGCAUACAGUGACUGAAAAAUUACCCCGAAGACUUCGAAUUUCAUAUAGGAUGGAGUGUCGCACAAGCUCCUCCGCGGGUAGGACAGUUCUAACUCAACGGUAAUUGUUUUCUCGUAAGUAAUUUCUUCUCGCCGAUCAAAGUUGAGAGUGUUUUCACAAAGUUUAUCUCAUUAACUGUAAUAUCGUGGCACCCGUCACACAAACAUGGGGAAAAAAUACGGUGUAAUCUUUGUUUGCUUUCAAUUAGAACAAUGGCGCGUCGUUAUCUCGACGCUCGAAUGACAGAACUUAAAUUAACCACGGUUUCAUUUGGAUCUAUAAAUCCUGUCGCACUCACGCCGUACACUUACUACACAGUUGACGUAUGAAAGUCGUCGAUUAUUGUAUUUCAAGUUUCAGUCAUAUCAGUAGUCGAUUAACUCGCACGUGAACAUUAAUAAAACGAAGUUUUUCAAA